AGAAGGUGGUUGUUGAGAGGAGAGGAGGAGAAGGUGGUUGUUGAGAGGAGGAGGAAGUGGUUGUUGAAAGGAGGAGGAGGAAGUGGUGGUUGUUGAGAGGAGGAGGAGGAGGAGGUGGUUGUUGAGAGGAGGAGGAGGAGGAGGAGGUAGUUGAGAGGAGGAGGAGGUGGUUGUUGAGAGGAGGAGGAGGAGGAAGUGGUUGUUGAAAGGAGGAGGAGGAAGUGGUUGUUGAAAGGAGGAGGAGGAGGUGGUUGUUGAAAGGAGGAGGAGGAGGUGGUUGUUGAAAGGAGGAGGAGGAAGUGGUUGUUGAAAGGAGGAGG
rnacentral:lncRNA from 1 species